UACGAAGGGAGCUAGCGUUGUUCGGAAUUACUGGGCGUAAAGGGCGCGUAGGCGGUUUGAUAAGUUUGGUGUGAAAGCCCUGGGCUUAACCUAGGAAUAGCAUUGGAUACUGUCAGACUAGAGGCCGAGAGAGGGAAAUGGAAUUGCGAGUGUAGAGGUGAAAUUCGUAGAUAUUCGCAAGAACACCAGUGGCGAAGGCGAUUUCCUGGCUCGGUACUGACGCUAAGGCGCGAAAGCGUGGGGAGCAAACAGG
rnacentral:rRNA from 1 species